AACCAAAACAACGUAUUCUCCGCCAGACGCCAUCUUGUUUCGUUCUUCCUCCUGUGUGACGUCUAUGAGGUGUUCUCAACCGCAGAACAAAUGUUGGCAAAACACGUGUUUCACUGGGACAAUAGUGAGUGGUGCGCACUUCCUUCGCCCGGCCACAGAACAAGAGUAAAAGUCCCAUUUAAGAGUUGCUGGUGUAACAAUAGGAAGAAUAUAUUCCACUCCUCUCUUCUACACGCGGCUUAUGAGAUGAAAGCUCGUCAAGAAGAACGUCCCCUUCAGCAGCAGGAGGAUCCACAGCCCCCCCACAUUAAAGAGGAAGAGGAGGAUCUCUGGGUUACUCAGGAGGAAGAGUUUGUUCCAGGGCAGGAGGAGGCUGAUCUCAGCAAGUUUCCACUGACUGUUGUCUCUGUGAAGACUGAAGAGCAUGAAGACAAACCACCUGAGUCCUCACAGCUUCAUCACAGUCCAAAUGGAUUGGACGUUGGCCUUGGAAGGCAUUCUCCUGAAGGUGUUCUUCAUGUGUCAGCUGGAAGUACCCUGACUGCUGUGAGGGGAAACUAAAGAGAUUACCUCAGUGAAGAACAUCUUCCUCAUGAGCAGGAGGAAGAACCACAGUCCUCCCACAUACACGAGGAAGAAGGGGUACCACAUUCCCAACACAUCAAAGAGGGAGGAGAGGAGCCACAGCCCCCCCACAUUAAAGAGGAAGAUGAGACGCCACAGACCCGUAGUGUUAAACUGACCCUUCACAUUAAAGGGCAAGCGGAGGACCCACUGAUCUUACACAUCAAAAAGGAAGAGGAACAGGAGGACCCACUGAGCCCUCACUUUAAGGAGCAAGACAACCCGCUGACCCCUCACAUUAAAAAGGAAGAGGUGGACUCACUGACCCUCUACUUGGGCAAAGGUGAAAGUGAGGAGAUGAGAGAGGCGGAGCCUCCAAGCAGCAGUUCAACACAACACAUGACAACAGAAGCUGAUGGAGACCACUGUGGAGGAUCACAAGCAGACAAGCUCGUAGCUCCACUAUCAGAUAGUGAGGACACAACGUCACACUCUUCUGACAGGGAUGGCGAAGAUUCUAAUGAUGAUAAGACAUGUCACGCUGACAACACUCACUUCAAAUGUUCUCACUGUGACAAAACCUUUAAAUACCAUUGUCAUCUGAAAACACACACAAGACGACACACUGGAGAAAAACCUUUUAUAUGUUCAAUAUGUGGUAAAAGUUUUGUAGAAAGUCGCUAUUUAAAAGUACACAUGAGAAGACACACUGGUGAAAAAACUUUUUCCUGUUCAAUCUGUGGUAAAUGUUUUGUUCUCAGUCACAAUUUGAAAGUGCACAUGAGAAGACACAGUGGUGAAAAAACAUUUUCCUGUUCAAUCUGUGGUAAAGUUUUUGCACAAAGUCCAUAUUUGAAAAUACACAUGAGAACACACACUAGUGAAAAACCUUUUUCCUGUUCAACCUGUGGUAAAGGUUUUACACAAAGUCAACAUUUGAGAAGACACAUGAGAACACACACUGGAGAAAAACCUUUUUCCUGUUCAACCUGUGGUAAAGGUUUUACACAAAGUCAUGAUUUAAAAGUACACAUGAGAGCACACACUGGUGAAAAACCUUUUUCUUGUUUAACCUGUGGUAAAAGUUUUACAGAAAGUCAGAGUUUGAAAAGACACAAGAGAACACAGAAUCACAUUCCUGUUCAAUCUGCAACAGAAGCUUUUGUGACCGAUAAAACCUUGUAGCACACAUGAAAACACACCCACACUCAAACCACUCCUUACAACACUCAAAAAGCCAUGCAAUAAAUUAAGAAAUAAGACAAACAACCUGACCAAAUCCUUGAAAAAAUUACAUUUACGAAAAAAUAGAGGAAAAUACAAAUAAGCCACUUGAGCUCUGGAAAAUUCUCAACAACUAGCUUCCUGGAUGCAGCCAGAAACAUAAAACCAGACUCAACACCAUCCACAUCAAGGGGGGUGACUCCCUCAUAACAGACAAAAUGGAGGUAGCAAGCAGACUUAACACCUUUUUCACCAGCAUAGCCACAACUCUAGUAAACAAGCUAUCCCAACAUUCUGGUUGCUUUGGUGUAGAACACAUUAAAGCCUUCUACAGAAAGCUAGGAGUAAUCAACAACAAUUUCAAAUUAGAAAUGGUCUCAGCUAGCGAGGUGCUUAAUAAAUUGAGCGCGCUCCACCCACACAAGCCCACCGGCCUUGACAAUAUCCCCUCCAGAUUCCUCAGGGACUCUGCCACCACCAUUGCCCCAAUAUAAUAGAUCUCUCAAUCAAACAAGGCCAAGUACCCAAGGAUUUCAAGAUAGCAAGAGUAAACCCCCUUUAUAAAAAAAAAAGCAAAUUAGAACCUGGUAACUACCGACCUGUUUCUAUUCUCGGCUCCAUUUCGAAAGAAAUGGAAAAAAUAGUUUAAGAACAGGUUGAUAGCUACCUUGCUACUAAUAAACUAAUGUACAAAUUCCAAUCCGGCUUCAGAACUAACCACUCCACUGACACAUGCCUUCUCUAUCUGAACGACCACAUCAAACAUGAGGUGGACGCGGGCAAAUACUGUGGCAUGGUCAUGCUGGACAUUCAGAAGGCCUUUGACACCGUUAACCACGCUACACUGUUGGAUAAGCUCAGAGCAAUCGGAUUCGAUAAUACCUCAUUGAGCUGGAUGCAAUCUUGCUUGAUGGGGAGGAAACAGGUGGUAGAGAUGAAUGGCACCAUGUCCCCUCCCCUCUCAGAAAGAUGUGGAGUCCCCCAAGGCAGUAUACUAGGACCUUUACUGUUCCUAAUAUACGUGAAUGACAUGCCAUCAGCAUGCCACUGUGAAUUGUUCCUGUUUGCGGAUAACUCGGCCCUGCUGGUAUCUGGCAAGGACAAGUCACAGUUUGAACAAAUCCUCAGUGCUGAACUCCUUAAUAUUUGCACCUGGCUCGCUGACAACAAGCUAUCCAUACACUUAGGUAAAACGGAAUCCAUCCUAUUUGGGUCCCACAUCAACCUUAAAGGCCUACUGAAAUGAGAUUUUCUUAUUUAAACGGGGAUAGCAGGUCCAUUCUAUGUGUCAUUCUUGAUAAUUUCGUGAUAUUCCCAUAUUUUUGCUGAAAGGCUUUAGUAGAGAACAUCGACGAUAAAGUUCACAACUUUUGGUCGCUAAUAAAAAAGCCCUACCUUUACCGGAAGUAGCAGACGAUGAUGUCACCGGUGUGAGGGCUCCUCACAUCCUCACAUUGUUUAUAAUGUGAGCCUCCAGCAUCAAGAGCUAUUCGGACCGAGAAAGCGACAAUUCCCCCAUUCAUUUGAGCGAGGAUGAAAUAUUUGUGGAUGAGGAUAUUGAUAGUGAAGGACUAGAAAAAAAAAACAAAAAAAAUAAAGUUUAAAAAAAAAAAGGUGAUUGCAUUGGAAGAAAUUCAGAUGUUUUUAGACACAUUUACUAGGAUAAUUCUGGGAAAUCCCUUAUCUUUCCAUUGUGUUGCUAGUGUUUUAGUGAGUUAAAUAGUACCUGAUAGUCAGAGGGGUGUGUCCACGGGUGUGUUGACGCCUGUCUCUGAGCGAAGUUACGGCAGCUGCAUGGACGGCGCAAGCUCCGCUGAUCUCCGCUGAGGCGAAUUUUUACCACAAUUUUUUCACCGAAACCUGCCGGUUGACAAGUGGUCGGGAACCAUGUUCGUUUGACCGCUCUGAUCCAUGGUAAAGCUUCACCUCUGAGAAUUUUAAACAAGGAAACACCAUGUGUUUGUGUGGCUAAAGGCUAAAGUUUCCCACCUCCAUCUUUAUACUUUGACUUCUCCAUUAUUAAUUGAACAAAUUGCAAAAGGUUCAGCAACACAGAUGUCCUAAAUACUGUGUAAUUGCGCGAUGAAAAGAGACGACUUUUGGCCGCAAGUGAUUCUGGCUGGUAUGUCCCCUCCAACCAAUAACGUCACAAACACGCAUCAUCAUUCCGCGACGUUUUCAACAGGAAACUCCGCGGGAAAUUUAAAAUUGUAAUUUAGUAAACUAAACCGGCCGUAUUGGCAUGUGUUGCAAUGUUAAUAUUUCAUCAUUGAUUUAUAAACUAUCAGACUGCGUGGUCGGUAGUAGUGGGUUUCAGUAGGCCUUUAAGACAGUCGGUGACUUCACUAUAAAAGUGAGUGACAUUGUUGAGAGAUCACCUACCUAGGUUCCAUUCUAGAGGCUAAUCUUUCAUGUGAUAAAAUGGCAACCAAGGUAAUCAAAGAGGUCAACCAAAGAACGAGAUUUCUCUAAGAAUCUCCUCUCUGGUCAACAAAAGCACCUUGAAGAUUCUAGCGGGAACUCUCGUUCAACCCUUUUUCGAUUACGCUUGCACCUCCUGGUACCCCAGCACCUCUAAAACCCUCAAAUCUAGACGCCAAACAUCCCAGACCAAGCUAAUCCGGUUACUUUUAGACCUCCACCCCAGAUCACACCUCACUCCAACCCACUUCUCCAAAGUGGGCUGUCUCAGGGUGGACGACAAAGUAAAACAACUUGCACUGAGCCUAGUCUAUAAAAUCCGCUACACCUCCCUGAUACCAAAGUACAUGUCAAAUUACUUCCUUAACGUAUGACCGCCAUAACCACAACACCAGGGAGAGCUCCACAAACCACGUUAAACCCAGAUUCCGAUCUAACAAAGGUCUUAACUCAUUCUCUUUCUAUGCCACAUCAAUGUGGAAUGCACUCCCAACAGGUGUAAAAGUGAGUGCAUCUCUAUCCUCCUUCAAAACCGCUCUAAAACAACACCUCCAGGCAACUUCAACCCUUUACUAAUACCCUCCCUCCUUCACAUCCCGGAUUGGUAAAUAACCAAAUGUAAACAAUCAAAUGUAUUUCUAAUGUAUAUACUUGUUCUUAUGCUGUCUGAACUCACUAUGUUCUCUGCUGGCUGUACAUAUCCUACCAAGUCAGACCUACACUGUUUCAAUGUCCUUUUCUCUGUUGAUGACUGAAGUGCUGAUAUCAACAAAGCUCCUCAUCCCACCCCCCGGAUUGUAAAUAAUGUAAAUAAUUGAAUGUAUAUACUUUGAUGAUUAACCUGUGUGAUGACUGUAUUAUGCUGAUAGUAUAUAUUUGUACCAUGAAUUGAUUAACGUGGACCCCGACUUAAACAAGUUGAAAAACUUAUUCGGGUGUUACCAUUUAGUGGUCAAUUGUACGGAAUAUGUACUGAACUGUGCAAUCUACUAAUAAAAGUAUCAAUCAAUCAAUCAAUUGAGCAGUGGUGUUUUAUACAUGAUCAAUUACUUUUAACAUUUGUGACUUUAUGAAUCAUUUGUUGGGUCUCAAUAAUCCAUUCUUUUAAUCAUCUUUAUUACUCUCUUUUGUAAUAUGAAUAUUGUUGUAUAUGUAUGUCCCCUUUAUGCAAUAUGUAGAUUACAAAAAAUGGCAACAUAUGUGCAAGGUUAUGAAGGAUAAUUUUGUUUUUAAUAAUCUACAUUUUUUCAUUAAAAAAAAACUACACAUGA